rnacentral:rRNA from 1 species
CUUUCUUUGCUGGCGACCGGCGCACGGGUGAGUAACACGUAUCCAACCUGCCCUUUACUCGGGGAUAGCCUUUCGAAAGAAGGAUUAAUACCCGAUAGUAUAAUGAUUCCGCAUGGUUUCAUUAUUAAAGGAUUCCGGUAAAGGAUGGGGAUGCGUUCCAUUAGGUUGUUGGUGAGGUAACGGCUCACCAAGCCUUCGAUGGAUAGGGGUUCUGAGAGGAAGGUCCCCCACAUUGGAACUGAGACACGGUCCAA